rnacentral:rRNA from 1 species
UGCAAGUCGAGGGGCAGCACGAAUAGCAAUAUUUGGUGGCGACCGGCAAACGGGUGCGGAACACGUACGCAACCUUCCUUUAAGUGGGGAAUAGCCCGGGGAAACCCGGAUUAAUACCCCGUAACAUUAUGAGGUGGCAUCACUUUAUAAUUAUAGAUUCAUCGCUUAAAGGUGGACGUGCGCCUGAUUAGGUAGUUGGCGGAGUAAUAGCCCACCAAGCCUGCGAUCAGUAACUGGUGUGAGAGCACGACCAGUCACACGGGCACUGAGACACGGGCCCGACUCCUACGGGAGGCAGCAGUAAGGAAUAUUGGUCAAUGGACGCAAGUCUGAACCAGCCAUGCCGCGUGGAGGAUGAAGGUCCUCUGGAUUGUAAACUUCUUUUAUUUGGGAAGAAAUGCAUUUUUUCUAAAGUGCUUGACGGUACCAGAUGAAUAAGCACCGGCUAACUCCGUGCCAGCAGCCGCGGUAAUACGUAGGGUGCAAGCGUUAAUCGGAAUUACUGGGCGUAAAGCGUACGCAGGCGGCUUUGCAAGACAGGUGUGAAAUCCCCGGGCCUAACCUGGGAACUGCAUUUGUGACUGCAUGGCUAGAGUUUGUCAGAGGGGGGUGGAAUUCCACGUGUAGCAGUGAGAUGCGUAGAUAUGUGGAGGAACACCGAUGGCGAAGGCAGCCCCCUGGGAUGUGACUGACGCUCAUGUACGAAAGCGUGGGGAGCAAACAGGAUUAGAUACCCUGGUAGUCCACGCCCUAAACGAUGUCGACUAGUUGUCGGAGGGUAACUCCUUCGGUAACGCAGCUAACGCGUGAAGUCGACCGCCUGGGGAGUACGGUCGCAAGAUUAAACUCAAAGGAAUUGACGGGGACCCGCACAAGCGGUGGAUGAUGNGGAUUAUUCGAUGCACCGCGAAAA